GUCCAAUGGGCCCAUGGGCCAGCCCACCUGUCAAAACUCCUGAUGAACUCACUGAUUGACAAGUAUUUUGAAGCACCAGGCAUCACUACUUUAACACAGAAUUAUUGUAAAUCCUGUACUAUAUGUGCUAAAUGCAAUCCUGGGAAAGUUAUAAAGACUGCACCUAACCACCUAGCUAAGCCACAAUAUCCCUUUCAGAGGAU